rnacentral:lncRNA from 1 species
CGCUGACCUCUCUCGUUUCUCUGCCUUGCAGUAUUUUUUCCAUCUGAGGUAUUUCUUUCGUGACCACCAUUUGUUGAUGGUUGUGAGGCUUUGAUAAUUCGAUCUCAAGUUCUCAACAAUUGUGAGCCAUAAAGUAGACAGAAUAAAGUUCACAGCUAUGGAAGGUAUCAUUAUAUACUUUGUUCUACUGCUUUUGAUUUCAUAUAAAAAGGGAAUCUUUGCUAUGGCCUUUCACCAAUUCUGGAUUCUUCACGAACUCUCCUGAUCAUGCUAUUACCUGUUUCAUGGUUAUUUUAGUGCCAUUAAGCUUCACAAGUAGUAGUAGGCAUUGGAUUUUUUGUUAGAGAAUCAUACACUCGUUCCUCUGUUUACACUUUAGAGUUUAGAUACGACUACCCUAUCGCGUUAGCAUCAUUUCAUGCGUCUUUGCUUUCUUGCAUUGUUCGGGGAUGUUAUCGUCGUAUUUCUGCGAGAGAUAUUUACUUCUUACAUUGUAUGGUAGCAAGUAACAUGCCAAAAAUGAUCAAGAGAGGGAGAGAGAAUCAAGUUGCACUAUUGAGCUGCUUUUGGAACUAUUUGUUAAUGAAUGAUGAUGCAUGUGGAGAACAUGGAACUGUAUUUAUGGACAGAGGUGAAUGGCUCUAUGGACCCUUAAUAAUAGGGUGGAUUCUCCACCUUUCUAGUUAGGCAACUUCAAUUUUAUGACCUGGGC